rnacentral:lncRNA from 1 species
GUUGAAUGUUAAGUGCCUUUACUAAUCACCUAAUGUCUGCUUAAACAAAUUAGAAACCUUACUAGUCUUGAUUAAAUAGGAGCCCUAAAAUGGGCCCAUUCAUGCCCUAAUUUUUCUCUAGCCAACAAAUCAGAUGAAUUUUUUAAGUGAACAAAUCCAAGAAGUGGACUUUCCAGUUUUCAAUAUGAACACAGAAAAGUAAGAAGUGGACUUUCCACUUUUCAAUAUGAACGCAGAAAAGUAAGAUCCACUUAGUACCUCAACCAAACCAAUAUUUAAUUACUCAUCCAACUUGGUCAUAUUUUACUCAUCAAAUUUCAAAAUGCUUCCUAAUGGUCACUCAUGUUUGAGAGGCUGGACUCCAUUCAUUAUUUGUCCAAUUUCAAUUACUUCGAUGCUAACUUAUUGCAUGAAAAUCUCACAUGGCAAGUUACGAUUGUUAACAAAAUUACUACUCAACCAAUCUAUCAACUCACCAAAAUAACCAUAUGUGAAACGUGACUUUCAUGGUCCCAUAAACUUCUUUAAGUCUCAAUAAAGCAUCCGAAUUUCAAUCCUAAAAGGUUCUAGCUCCUAAUUCAAUCAUCUCAUCCACAUACAGCUAAAUUGUAUAAUAAGACAAACCCAAUUGUUGAGAUGGAUAGGAAAAGCUAUUACUUAUAAAGUCGUAUCCCCUAAUUGUACCAUAUGCUCAACGUCUCUCUAAUUCCAAUCUUCCACUUUCCCAAGUGUGUAUCCAACUAUUUGAGGAAUGAAAUGUUAUUGAACUCUGACAAUUGGUGCACGGCGAAAUACCUUAUGGGUUCCGUUCGUAUUUGUUGUUCUUUGUUCAUCAAUUUAGCCAGAGUUCAAUGACAUAUAUUCUUCAAAUAGUUUAGCACAUGCCUUCAAGAAUGGAAGAUUAGAAUUAGAGAAAUGUCGACCAGAUUGUACAAUUAAGGGAUAAGGCUUUAUAAUUAGUAGCUCUAGCGUCCUUCACAACAAUCGGUUCUGUCUCAACACACAAUUUAGCUGUACUUGAGUGAGAUGAGCGAAUUGAGGGUUAGGGUUUUCUAGGAUUGAAAUUGGGGAUUCAUUAUUGGGGCUUAAAGAAGUUUAUGGGUUGUGGAAGUCGCAUUUCACAUAUGGUGAUUUUGGUAGGUUAAUGGUUUGGCCGAGUUGUAAAUUUGUUAACGUUCAUAACUUGUCAAGUAAGAUUUUCGUGCGCUACGCUAACAAUGGAGGGAACAAAAUCUAUGCAGAUGAUGUAGUGCAACAUUUCAAAGAUGAGUGAUCAUUGGGAAUUAUUUUAAAGUUUGAUGAGUAAAUUGUGGUUUGGCUAGUUGUAGUUUUUUUAAGGCCGUAACUUGUCA